UCCGGGGGGGGCAAGCGUUGUUCGGAAUUACUGGGCGUAAAGGGCGUGUAGGCGGCCAACUAAGUCCGACGUGAAAUCCCCAGGCUUAACCUGGGAACUGCGUCGGAUACUGGAUGGCUUGAAUCCGGGAGAGGGAUGCGGAAUUCCAGGUGUAGCGGUGAAAUGCGUAGAUAUCUGGAGGAACACCGGUGGCGAAGGCGGCAUCCUGGACCGGCAUUGACGCUAAAGCGCGAAAGCCAGGGGAGCAAACGGG
rnacentral:rRNA from 1 species